AUUGAACGCUGGCGGCAUGCUUUACACAUGCAAGUCGAACGGCAGCGCGGGCUUCGGCCUGGCGGCGAGUGGCGAACGGGUGAGUAAUACAUCGGAACGUGCCCCGUCGUGGGGGAUAGCUCGGCGAAAGCCGGAUUAAUACCGCAUACGACCUGAGGGUGAAAGCGGGGGAUCUUCGGACCUCGCGCUAUUGGAGCGGCCGAUGGCAGAUUAGCUAGUUGGUGGGGUAAAGGCCUACCAAGGCGACGAUCUGUAGCUGGUCUGAGAGGACGACCAGCCACACUGGGACUGAGACACGGCCCAGACUCCUACGGGAGGCAGCAGUGGGGAAUUUUGGACAAUGGGCGAAAGCCUGAUCCAGCAAUGCCGCGUGUGUGAUGAAGGCCUUCGGGUUGUAAAGCACUUUUGGCGGGAACGAAAAGGACUGUGCCAAUACCACGGUUCGAUGACGGUACCCGCAGAAUAAGCACCGGCUAACUACGUG
rnacentral:rRNA from 1 species